UACAGAGGUCUCAAGCGUUGUUCGGAUUCAUUGGGCGUAAAGGGUGCGUAGGUGGCGCCGUAAGUCGGGUGUGAAAUUUCGGAGCUUAACUCCGAAACUGCAUUCGAUACUGCCGUGCUUGAGGACUGGAGAGGAGACUGGAAUUUACGGUGUAGCAGUGAAAUGCGUAGAGAUCGUAAGGAAGACCAGUGGCGAAGGCGGGUCUCUGGACAGUUCCUGACACUGAGGCACGAAGGCCCAGGGGAGCAAACGGG
rnacentral:rRNA from 1 species